GAAGAGAAGAACUACGUUCCCCAGAAGACUGUUCGAGUACUGUUAUCACUCCUGCUCAGGGGAACAGAUAUAAUGCCUGUAGGUCACCUGACCUGGGUCCUCUGCCUUCUUCUCAUCUUGUCGUGCUCGCUUUCGGAUCGUCUCGCUGCUGCUCCCGACUGCACGCAAGGCUUCGGUAUUAGUAUGUGACCUUCAGCUUAUUUUCAAAAAUGCCUAUGCCAUGGAAGAGAAAACCUGGGGUGACAAGAGGAAAGGAUCAGAGCAAAGCAGAGCUGCUGGAAACACAGAUACAGUUGGAAGUUGUGGGUCCUCCAAGAACACACGAUGCAGGAUCUAUAUUUCAGAAGGAAUGAAGGGAAGACGAAGGUUUCAAGGUUCCUGGCAUCCUAUGUUGCAGCUGUCAGUUGAGGUUCAGGCUGGAUAUCAGGAAAAGUUACAAUUGGUAGCUAUAUCAAUAACCAUGAAUUCUCCCCAGACUACAUGGAUCACUUUAGCCCUGAGAACAU
ensembl:lncRNA